AACGAACGCUGGCGGCAUGCCUAACACAUGCAAGUCGAACGAAGCCUUCGGGCUUAGUGGCGCACGGGUGCGUAACGCGUGGGAAUCUGCCCUUGGGUUCGGAAUAACAGUUAGAAAUGACUGCUAAUACCGGAUGAUGUCUUCGGACCAAAGAUUUAUCGCCCAAGGAUGAGCCCGCGUAGGAUUAGGUAGUUGGUGGGGUAAUGGCCCACCAAGCCGACGAUCCUUAGCUGGUCUGAGAGGAUGAUCAGCCACACUGGGACUGAGACACGGCCCAGACUCCUACGGGAGGCAGCAGUGGGGAAUAUUGGACAAUGGGCGAAAGCCUGAUCCAGCAAUGCCGCGUGAGUGAUGAAGGCCUUAGGGUUGUAAAGCUCUUUUACCAGGGAUGAUAAUGACAGUACCUGGAGAAUAAGCUCCGGCUAACUCCGUGCCAGCAGCCGCUGUAACAC
rnacentral:rRNA from 1 species